rnacentral:rRNA from 1 species
GAUGAACGCUAGCGGCAGGCCUAACACAUGCAAGUCGAGGGAGAAGCCCUUCGGGGCAGAAACCGGCGCACGGGUGCGUAACGCGUAUGCAACCUACCUUUCACAGGGGGAUAGCCCGAAGAAAUCUGGAUUAAUACCCCAUAAUAUUAUUGGGUGGCAUCAUUUGAUAAUUAAAAUUACGAUGGUGAAAGAUGGGCAUGCGUCCUAUUAGCUAGUUGGAGUGGUAACGGCACCCCAAGGCUACGAUAGGUAGGGGUCCUGAGAGGGAGAUCCCCCACACUGGUACUGAGACAGGGACCAGACUCCUACGGGAGGCAGCAGUGAGGAAUAUUGGUCAAUGGUCGGAAGACUGAACCAGCCAUGCCGCGUGCAGGAAGAAUGCCUUAUGGGUUGUAAACUGCUUUUAUAUGGGAAGAAUAAGGAGUACGUGUACUUUGAUGACGGUACCAUAUGAAUAAGCAUCGCA